CAGCCGCCGCGGGAAUACGGAGGGUGCAAGCGUUAAUCGGAAUUACUGGGCGUAAAGCGCACGCAGGCGGUUUGUUAAGUCAGAUGUGAAAUCCCCGAGCUUAACUUGGGAACUGCAUUUGAAACUGGCAAGCUAGAGUCUUGUAGAGGGGGGUAGAAUUCCAGGUGUAGCGGUGAAAUGCGUAGAGAUCUGGAGGAAUACCGGUGGCGAAGGCGGCCCCCUGGACAAAGACUGACGCUCAGGUGCGAAAGCGUGGGGAGCAAACAGGAUUAGAUACCCGCGUAGUCCCUGUCUCUUAUAC
rnacentral:rRNA from 1 species